rnacentral:lncRNA from 10 species
GAGCCACCAAAUAUCCCAGUGUCUGAGGUGGAUCUCAAACCAAGAAGUGUGACUUAUCUCAUGCACCAGAGAAGUUCCUCAAGAAAAGAAGCAUGUCAUUAGUAAUUGCUGCAUUGCACAUUUGGAGAGGAAAUAGCAUUCUCCAGCCAACAGGCCUGGUGUGCUUUGCUUCCUGCUGUCUCUUCUACAUCUAAAAUGAUGCUUCGUACAUAGCAUGGCACAAGUUGGCACUCAAUAAAGGCUUCUUGCAUGGAAGAAGGAUAAACACCCU